rnacentral:rRNA from 1 species
AUGACCACCUGCACUAACAGAAAGACCGGGAAGCGGUGGGCCUUGGUAAACGUCUAUGACCCCCAAUCAACUAUCGAGAAACUUGAUUUCCUUGCCGAUCUCAAGGCCAUCGCUUCGGUUACAUCUGAUCCCAUCAUUUUUGUUGGUGACUUCAACCUGAUCGCCCGGAUGUCUGACAAGAGCAAUUCCAGGGUACACAGAGGCCUAAUGAAUGCUUUUAGGAAAUUCAUGAAUGAUGCUCAACUCAAGGACAUGUACCUGCACGGCAAGCACUACACUUGGUCAAAUGAGCAGCAGGAGGCAACCUUGGUGGGACUAGAUCAUGUCCUCUACAACAACGCUUGGGGUAGCCUCUUCCCGAACUCCCUGUUGCAAGGCCUCUCUUCUGAGGUGUUCGACCACACGCCGCUACUCCUAAAUUCAGACCAAUCCUUCAAGCACUGUCGAAGAUUUCGGUUUGAGAAGAAUUGGAUCAAAUGGGAGGGAUUCCAUGAAGUGGUACAGCAGGCAUGGCAGAUACAGAACCCCCCGGCCGAUCCUUUCGCAACGUACAGCGCAAGACUGCAGGCAACAACGCGUGCCCUAACUCGCUGGAGUGCUAAGAAAUCUUCUGAUCUGAAACUGAGAGUGUCAAUUGUGUCUGAGCUAAUUUUGCGGCUUGAUAUAGCCAUGGAAUCCAGAAACCUGACGACUGAUGAGGUGGCCUUUCGCAAACUACUCAAGAUGCAGAGGCAAGGGCUGGCCGUGAUGGAGAGAUGUAUGUGGCGACAGCGUUCACGCUUUCUUUGGCUCAGAGAAGGAGACUGCUGUAACGCCCUCGAUGCGGCUAUAGCUCCCACGUGUCGAGGCACGACUUAG